rnacentral:rRNA from 1 species
UACGUAGGGUGCAAGCGUUGUCCGGAAUUAUUGGGCGUAAAGAGCUCGUAGGCGGUUCGUCGCGUCGGGGAGUGAAAACUCAGGGCUUAACCCUGAGCCUGCUUCCGAUACGGGCAGACUAGAGGUAUGCAGGGGAGAACGGAAUUCCUGGUGUAGCGGUGAAAUGCGCAGAAUAUCAGGAGGAACACCGGUGGCGAAGGCGGUUCUCUGG